GGCUUCGUAGCUCAAUUGGUGGAACGCUUGCCGCAUUUUCGCAUGCUGUUUAUGUUGCUGGUUCAAAUCCAGCCGAAGCUC